AAUUUCUCAUGUUUAUGGUUAUUUUAACUUUUUAAAAACAAAUUCUAUAUAUUUUAUUCUGCAACUGAACAGUAUAUAUAGUGCUUUCGAAUCUUCUGGUCUUAAAGAUAUAAAGCUGUAUUUUCUGCAGAAUAGGGCAGUAUGCUGGAGGAAAUCAUAGAAAACUGGGAAGGAGACCUGCAGCCUCAGCGUCACCCUUCUGGAAUUUCUGUCUUCGCCUCAGGAAUGUUGCCAUCCAAUCCUUCAUUGUCUGGUGCAUGGAAAUGAUGUUUGGCUAAUGGGUCAAGCCACAGCACAGGUUAUUGUCACUGAUGCAAUGACAGAGAAAUGAAGGAGCAACAGAUGCACCAGCAAGUUCCAAACUAGUGGCGACCAGCAGCAUGUGCCAAGCAGGCUUCAUAAGACGAAGUCGCAGCUGAAGUUACCGUCAGGAUGCGCAGGAGUUUCAGGAGGGCCAGAGUUUAUUCUCCUUGAAGCCAUUUCCUCCAGAUAAGCAAGAACUGCAACAUGACCAGGCAACAGAGGAAAGGCAGGAGAGGAAAGAGCAGGAAUACACAGAUGAUGAAGAAACACCAUCAUGCGGUCUCACAUUCAUAGCCACAAGCUCAGACAGUGAUGCCAAGCGUAAUUUAGAGGAUAGUUUUCGAGGUGGGAUCUGCAUGUGGUGAGACACCAAGCAUGAGUGGCCUGUAUUCAAGGUUGGAAGCAAGAGUUGUGCAUGUGCCAGUUCUCCAGAAGGGAAAAAGAGAAAUGACGUUCAACAUAGACUUGCUCGAAGCAGAAGACUGGGGAUCGCCUUUGCAUGUGUCCAGAGAAGAAAAUCUGCAGUAAUGCUUAUAAAAACUGAUACCAAAAGGCAACAAAGGCAUUCAAAGUGAUUGAGCUUUACUAAGCCAUAAGAGCUAGCUUUCAAAGAAACACUCUUAACAAAGUGAGGAACAAGACAAACAGCAUUUGAUCAACACCACAAUCCACUGAUAUCUGAUUUUGUACCUGAUCAUUCUGCACUGAUUACAAUUAUGCCUUAACCCCGACUCCUGAAAAAUAAAAUGGUGUGUUAUUUCCAAUCUCC